GAUGAAGAACGGCAGCGAAAUGCGAUAAGUAAUGUGAAUUGCAGAAUUCAGUGAAUCAUCGAAUCUUUGAACGCACAUUGCGCCCCCCAGUAUUCUGGCGGGCAUGCCUGUUCGAGCGUCAUUUCAACCAUCAAGCCCUGCUUGUGUUGGGGUCCUGCGGCUGCCCGCAGGCCCUGAAAACCAGUGGCGGGCUCGCUAGUCACACCGAGCGCAGUAGCACAUCUCGCUCAGGGCGUGCGGCGGGCUCCAGCCGUUAAAGCACCCACCUUUCGCAAGGUUGACCUCGGAUCAGGUAGGAAUACCCGCUGAACUUAAGCAUAUCAAUAAGCGGAGGA
rnacentral:misc_RNA from 1 species